rnacentral:piRNA from 1 species
UGUAUGAGCGUGUGUGAGGAAAGAUGGA